rnacentral:lncRNA from 10 species
AAUAGAAAACAAGAUCAUCUGUAUCAGGAAUGAUGGCAGAAGACGCUUAAAAUUCUGGCAUUGCCACUGAGAAGAAUGAAGGAUGGAGCUGAUUAGAAAAUUGUAGGAUUGCUGAGCACUGUGAGAGGUCCUGUUUGGCUGGAACUUUACAUGACAGAUGGGGACAGCUAGUUUUCUUCUCUGAGUCAUGGGAGAGAAAGAACACGGCUCCUUGGGGACUUCUAAAUGCCGGAGACAGAGAACUCAAAGAUGGCUUUCAGAGACAUGCGGGAUAUUGGCGUAUUGGUGUUUCCA